rnacentral:rRNA from 1 species
AAAACGACUCUCGGCAACGGAUAUCUCGGCUCUCGCAUCGAUGAAGAACGUAGCGAAAUGCGAUACUUGGUGUGAAUUGCAGAAUCCCGUGAACCAUCGAGUCUUUGAACGCAAGUUGCGCCCCAAGCCGUUAGACCGAGGGCACGCCUGCCUGGGUGUCAC